UUGACGAAUGAAGAAAAAACAUGAUUAUCUCAAGUGACUCGCACAUCCCGUUUUUCGUUGCACAAAUAAAAGUCUGUGUCUUGGGCCCAGUUGCAAGCCUGCCCACGCGGGCCAGGCUUUGAUAUUUAAACCAGGCAGGGUGAAACUACAGGUUGGGGCACUCUGCAACUUACGCAUCCUAUCCUCCUCCCCCUAAGCAGUCGGAGAAGAGGUUUGACUGCUCAAAGGGUGGCUAGAGACAGAGACGGGACACUGGCCGAAGGGGAGCAAGUGGUGGUGGCAGCUGAGCCCGGCGAUGCCUGGGGAGCUGCACCGGCUCAUCAGUCUCGUUCUCCAGAAACUAAAAACAGUCUCAAGCCGCUGCACGCUGCCGAACGUCGGCACGAUUCUCUAAGUUCGGAAACCACGAAGCAGUGUGGUGGAUUCGCACGACCAGAGCGUGUCAUUCUCUCAAAAACAAAGAGCUGGGUGCAGCUUGCUAGACUCCUGCCCCCACUGUGCGCUCCAAACAGCGCGUUUCUCCCCAUGCGGAAAUUCGCUCAACUUCUCCAAGUACGAGCUAGAGCAGGCGGUGGAAGCCAGCCGUUCUCAAGAGCUGCUCCGAGCUCCCACUUUGCUGGAAGGGCGUCACUGCUCCAGCGCCUUCGUAACUCAGCCGCAGAAGAACGCUCGGCUAAAAAGGACACAGUGAGCCUGUGGAGAACAUUUUUAGAAGCUGGGGGACUGGAAGGCUCGUGUAUCCCACAAACUUGUGGGGAAGACCGUUGGGGCUGAAGUUUCACUCGGAAAGGGCAGUCCCGCUCUGGUGCACGUUCCCCAGGCUUCGGGCAGCCAACCGGGUGUGACGCUGCUAGAGGCUUGGGAGCGCAGGCUCUCCAUCAAGUGGCUCUGAUGUGGGUUCCUAUAUUUUUGACAGCGAACCCCACUGGGUUUGGAGAGCAUCGAUAUUUGGAAGAGCCCCCAUCGGGGGUCUUCUUGGAGCAUCAGAGGAGAUAGAGCAACUUUCCGUGCGGCUGGGGAACUGCCGCAUUUAGUUUACUAAGGCCAUGCGUCUCUAUCCGUCAUAGCCACCUACUAUUCGGCUCCAAACGAAAUAGGAACAGAUGUUAGGAAACUGGGGGGAAGUAAGUAGGUAAACCUCAAGUUAUUGAGGACACUCCUUUUAAUAGUGGAGCUACGCCGACCCGAGAGACAUUAGACUUCAUCACGCAGGAAUGGUGGAGGAGGCUGUGACUGGAAACUAAAAGACUCUCAGGUCUCUUUGCGCACCGCACCACGGGUUCCCACCCGUACUUAAUCAUCCUAGCAAUAUUCGCCUGAUCAGCCCGCACCGUCUCCGGUCCUUCCUGACACUUCUCUUCCCUGUUUACCUUUCUGCUUCUGGUCACCCCGAGGUUUGGGCUGCCCUGGACCUCUCCGUUUGCCUUUGCUAAGGCGUUCCUGUCCUCUGGAGAUGACUGUGGUGACAAGUGUACCAGAGAAACAGCUGAAGCCUUUUCCCGCCUGCCCCCAAAGCUGAUGACCUUACACAAUACUCGCACAUCAUUUGUUCCCUAACUUUCUGUACUUGUCUUGGAGCUUGCUCAGCUGUCUCUGAAUGACCCUCUCUCAGCACAGACUACAUGGCAGUUUCUCCCUGGAAGCAUCCUGUCUGCUCAGCCCAAGCUUGAGAGCCUCCUCCUGCAGAGCGAGCAGGACUAAAGUGGAGACAGCAUCUCAGGCAGUUUGGGGUGCUGUGCAGGUUGUCUGACUUUCCCACAGCUUUCCAAAUCAACUGGCCUCUGACUUGUCAUUUUUGAAGAAACUGAGGUGCAGAGAAAGGACUUGACGUGAGGAUGUGGAAGGAGCUGGGAGCAGGGUCUGCAGCGGCCUCUGGAUGUCUUGAGUUUGGAGUCCAUUUGCUCAGUUCGAAGGAGGUACAACAGCUAACAAUGAACUACUGUUCAUGUCUCUCACUAAACAGAGAACUCCUCAAUGGUUUACACUGGCUGCCCAAAGAACUCUGGAGAUCUUCCUCUCUCUACCCUUACCCCAGCACUGAGAUUACAGACACAUCAGCACAGAAGACCUUCGUAUGGGCACUGGGGAUUUGAAAUCAGAUUCACAUGCUUCUGUGGCAGGCCCACAGGACACACAGGAUGAUACUUCCACGUCUCAUGCCAGGGGCAGAGUGAGGCUCUCAUGGGCCUGUAUCAGAGAGGCUGCUUCCCCCACCUCUUCCCUGUAAAUUUCCCAAAGUCUCUAACUCUGAUUCAUUUUCAUUCUUCGCUGCAGUGUGUGUUCACAGAGUCCUUGGAAGAAGACUGUGAUUGCUAAAAGUUGUGAGCCUAUGGCGGGCAAGGCCUGUACUUGGUGCAGCAAAGGAAAGUCCAUCACACCUGCUCCUCAGUCUAGGAUCCCAAGUUAGCCAGCUCCCACUUUGCCCCAAGAGACAGCCUCUCUUCUCCUAUUACCAAGAAACAGUAGAAUUUCAGGAAAGGGAUGAUCCCAUAUUUAAGAGGCUUGAAAUUGUAUGCAUGACAUUUCUGAGUUAAGUUCUAAAAUACAGUCCCCUUAAUCAUAGGAAAAAUAAGAAAUGUAGUUAAAACUUAUUUAAAAAACAUUGCACUAGGAGAAAUGAAAAAUUAUGUUGACAUAAAACAUGUAUAAAACUAUUCACGGCAUCAGCGGGGCUGGGAUAUAGCUCAGUCAUGGAGGGCUUGCAGAGCAAUGUGCAUGGUCCAAGGUUCAAUCCCCAGCCCUGGGAUAGAAAAGUAGGAGGGGAGGAGGUAUUCACAGCAGCAUUUCCAAUAUCUACAGAAAAGAGAAACAAUUCAAACACCUACAAAUGAAAGGAUAAAUAUAAAAUGCCAUAGCUAUAUGAUGGGAUACUAGUCAGCAGUGGAAAAGUAUGAAGUGAUAGAGAUGACAGUAUGGAUGACUUUUUUAACAUCUUCCUAAGUAACAGAAGCCAAUCACAAGAGAAGGCACCCACUCCAUAUUUCUGGAGUAUAUAGGCAUAUCUAUAUAGAGAGAAAGCAGAACAGUGGUUGGCUAGAACUUGGAGAGAGGGCCUGGACUUGGGGAGACAGCAGAGAGGUGCAGCAUUUCUCUGGAUGGAGAUGAAAAUAUUCUUGAAUUAAUUGAAGUGAUGGUUGGGCCACUUGAUGACUGCAUUUUAAAACCACUGAAUUUUACUUGCAAGUGGGGGAAUUGCAUGGUAUGUUGAUUAUAUCUCAAUAAAGCCUUUAAUAUAUUUUAUUAAAAUAAUAUAAUAAUAUAAAAGAUA